rnacentral:tRNA from 1 species
UGGGCGAGGCGGGAUUUGAACCCGCAAGCCCUUGCGGCCUGAACGCAGCGCGUCUACCAAUUCCGCCACUCGCCC